GCUGGUGUAGCUCAUUGGAAGAGCGCUGGCCAUAAGUAUCCAAGUUUUCCGGGCUGCUGCAGGUUCGAUUCCUGCCACCAGUA
rnacentral:tRNA from 1 species